GCAGAUAGAAUGCACGAACGAAUCGUCGGCAGUCAAGAAGGAGGCACGAAGGCAGGGUUCCUUUUUGGUCCGAUGUUUGUCGAUCUAUCGCAAGGAGGGGUUGAAGCAUCUCCAAUUCUUGUCCUCUUCUGAUCGGGGAUGGGAAGGACUCGACCAAAGCAGGGAAACAGACGAACAAGACUGCCGACGGUGGCUGACGAUCGAGAGGGGGAGGAUGGCAUCUUCGGGGUUGACGAGGCCGAAGAAAGAAUGUGGGAAGAUGCAGCGAGGCUGCUCGUGAUCUCGGUGGAAGCAGCGAGGGGCUGCUCAAGCAGUUUCUCGGCUGCUUGCUUCAGUCCCGAUAGCGGGGUGCGAAGGGAAAUGCGAGUGAGAGAGGCGAGGGGAGAGGCCAGAAGAGGGGGUCUAGUGGGAGGAAACUAACAGCAGUAGUAGUUCGAGUGGGGGUGUUUGGCAGCGGAGCUCGUCGGGAAGGAAGGGAAGAUGCGACGGAGGCUGCUCCUGCAGUCUCCCUGUUGCUUCUGGAGAAAGAAGGAAGAAAUCAGUGGGUGGCGUUGUUGUGUUCGUCGUCAGGAAGAGGGGAAGGAAACCAGGCUGCUGCCUCUUGGCUUUCAUAGGGAAAGAAAAGGAAAAGAGGAGAGGAGCUGAAGAAGGUGACGAAUUCAGGAGUGUUUGUGGGUUUGAAUUUGAUGUUUCAUUUGUGGGUUUGAUGUUUCAGGAGUGUUUCAUUUGGGUUUGACAGCUUCAAUUGAGAAAGGAAACCGGUUUUGUCUAAAAAAAAUGUUUACUUUGUGUGAGGUUUUGGUUAAGUUAAAAUGUGAAAGAAAAUAAUAGGUUUUAAUUUGUUAUCUUUUGCCCAUAAAUGUGUAUAUAUAUUUGGUAUAUAUUUUGUAUUUGAUUUUGUAUUUUGUAUAUGGUGUACGUUGUAUUUGAUUUUGUAUUUGAGUGUGUAAUUUGUGUACUUUGUGUGAGACUUGUAAGCAAGCAAUUCAUUGAUUUAAUAAGUA